GGAUGUCCCUAUUUUCACUGGAGAAAUGUUGGGUAUGCUAUUCCAAGAACUAAAAAGGGGGGUAGACUUUCACCCUAGCCCACCCAAAAGUCAAAUUAAUGUGAGCCUUCAAUAUGUUUUCUGAAAGCACAGAUGUCCGAAUCAGUUGAGUCUCUCUUAGAAAGUAGCUGCACAGUCAGGGGUCAGCAAACUUUUUCAGCAGGGGGUCGGUCCACUGUACCUCAGACCUUGUGGGGGGCCAGACUAGAUUUUG